AAUUGUAGAGGUCGCGGUACUUAUGAGUACUAAUAAUGAGGUAAGCACAAUGAUUUAUUAGAAAAGGAAUUAUCGCCGAAGGAUAUAACUGAUGCUUUAAAGUUAUAUACCUGGGGAUGUAUAAAAUAUAUGCAUCACUGUCACAAAUUUAAUUUGUGUUGAGCUACAU
rnacentral:ncRNA from 1 species